rnacentral:rRNA from 1 species
GGCCAGACUCCUACGGGAGGCAGCAGUGGGGGAUAUUGCACAAUGGGGGAAGCCCUGAUGCAGCGACGCCGCGUGAGUGAAGAAGUAUUUCGGUAUGUAAAGCUCUAUCAGCAGGGAAGAAAAAAGACGGUACCUGACUAAGAAGCCCCGGCUAACUACGUGCCAGCAGCCGCAGUAAUACGUAGGGGGCAAGCGUUAUCCGGAUUUACUGGGUGUAAAGGGAGCGUAGACGGCAGUGCAAGUCUGGAGUGAAAGGCGGGGGCUCAACCCCCGGACUGCUCUGGAAACUGUACGGCUGGAGUGCAGGAGAGGUAAGUGGAAUUCCUAGUGUAGCGGUGAAAUGCGUAGAUAUUAGGAGGAACACCAGUGGCGAAGGCGGCUUACUGGACUGUAAAUGACGCUGAGGCUCGAAAGCGUGGGGAGCAAACAGGAUUAGAUACCCCAGUA